UACGUAGGGGGCAAGCGUUGUCCGGAUUUAUUGGGCGUAAAGAGCGUGUAGGCGGUUUUACAGGUCCGCUGUGAAAACUCGAGGCUCAACCUCGAGACGCCGAUGGAAACCCCCCAGCUAGAGUCCGGAAGAGGAGAGUGGAAUUCCUGGUGGAGCGGUGAAAUGCGCAGAUAUCAGGAGGAACACCCGUAGCGAAGGCGGCACUCUGGGCCGAUACUGACACUGAGGAGCGAAAGCGUGGGGAGCGAACAGG
rnacentral:rRNA from 1 species